rnacentral:rRNA from 1 species
AACGAACGCUGGCGGCAGGCUUAAUACAUGCAAGUCGAACGCCCCCUUCGGGGGGAGUGGCAGACGGGUGAGUAACGCGUGGGAACGUGCCCCAAGGUAGGGAACAACUCCGGGAAACUGGAGCUAAUACCCUAUGUGUCCGAGAGGAGAAAGAUUUAUCGCCUUGGGAUCGGCCCGCGUCAGAUUAGCUAGUUGGUGGGGUAAAAGCCUACCAAGGCGACGAUCUGUAGCUGUUCUGAGAGGAAGAUCAGCCACACUGGGACUGAAACACGGCCCAGACUCCUACAGAAGACAGCAGUAGGGAAUCUUGGACAAUGGGCGCAAGCCUGAUCCAGCCAUGCCGCGUGAGUGACGAAGGCCUUAGGGUUGUAAAACUCUUUCGCACGUGACGAUAAUGACGGUAACGUGAGAAGAAGCUCCGGCUAACUUCGUGCCAGCCGCCGCGGUAAAAC